rnacentral:rRNA from 1 species
UACGGAGGGUGCAAGCGUUAUCCGGAUUCACUGGGUUUAAAGGGUGCGUAGGCGGGCAUGUAAGUCAGUGGUGAAAUCUUCAAGCUUAACUUGGAAACUGCCAUUGAUACUAUGUGUCUUGAAUGUUCUGGAGGUUAGCGGAAUAUGUCAUGUAGCGGUGAAAUGCUUAGAUAUGACAUAGAACACCUAUUGCGAAGGCAGCUAACUACGGAAAUAUUGACGCUGAGGCACGAAAGCGUGGGGAGCAAACAGG